rnacentral:rRNA from 1 species
AUUGAACGCUGGCGGCAUGCUUUACACAUGCAAGUCGAACGGCAGCGCGGGCUUCUGCCUGGCGUCGAGUUGCGAACGGGUGAGUAAUACAUCGGAACGUGCCCAGUAGUGGGGGAUAGCUCGGCGAAAGCCGGAUUAAUACCGCAUACGACCUGAGGGUGAAAGCGGGGGAUCUUCGGACCUCGCGCUAUUUGAUCGGCCGAUGGCAGAUUAGCUAGUUGGUGGGGUAAAGGCCUACCAAGGCGACGAUCUGUAGCUGGUCUGAGAGGACGACCAGCCACACUGGGACUGAGACACGGCCCAGACUCCUACGGGAGGCAGCAGUGGGGAAUUUUGGACAAUGGGCGAAAGCCUGAUCCAGCAAUGCCGCGUGUGUGAUGAAGGCCUUCGGGUUGUAAAGCACUUUUGGCGGGAAAGAAAAGGACUGUGCCAAUACCACGGUUCGAUGACGGUACCCGAAGAAUAAGCACCGGCUAACUACGUG